ensembl:lncRNA
AAACUAGUGAUGUAUAGGUUUUAUUGAAGAAAUGUUUUUGAAGUUCACAAACUUGCCACUAAGGAUUUAUUAUAUAGGCUACUAGAAGACAUGCACUCACAAAUGGACACUAGCGCUUUAAUAGUUUAUCUCCCUACGACUGGGAGCAGUUCCUCUGGAUAAGUAAUUGCAUUGCGUCCUCUGGUGGAAAAACGUACACCGAACACAUCAGAGCAAUAUAGUGAAAAUGUUUAGACAAGUUUCAGUAUUGCAGAGUCCAGAUUUAAACAGAAAUAGUCUUAAUAAAUAAAACUGACAAAUUGCCCAUUCUGUUAGGAAAAAUAAAGGAGAGCUAUGUUUUAGCCGGACAGUAAGUAUCUGAGGGGUAGUGAGUAACCCACCCAAAGAUGGUAGGCAGAGGUGGAGCAUUAGACGGAGGUGGAGCAGUAGGCAGAAGUGGAGUAUUAGGUGGAGUUGGAGCGGUAGGUGGAGGUGGAGCAGUAGGCAGAAGUGGAGUAUUAGGUGGAGGUGGAGCGGUAGGCGGAGGUGGAGCAUUAAGCGGGGGUGGAGCAUUAGGUGGAGGUGGAGCGGUAAGUGGAGGUGGAGCAUUAGGCGGAGGUGGAGCGGUGGGCGGAGGUGGAGCAUUAGGCGGAGGUGGAGCGGUAGCGGAGGUGGAGAAGUAGAUGGAGGUGG